rnacentral:lncRNA from 1 species
UCACCCUCAAAAUUUCCUUUCCUUCUCACAAAGCCUCCAGCUGCCAUACUUUUUUCCUUCUUGCAAUUCUCACUCCCAUUAUUCUCUUUCCUUCUCACAAUGGUUAACUUGAUAGCCUCUCACAUUGUCAAACCAGCAAAACCAAUCCCCACGAAAGUGAUGUUUUUAUCUGAGUGUGAUCAACGUGUAGCCGUGACUCAUGCAACUGUCGUCCAUUUUUACAAGCCAGAAAGUCCAGAAUUGCUAAAUGAUGCCACUGAGGUUUUGAAAGACUCACUAAGCGAAGCCUUGGUGGCGUUUUAUCCGCUUGCUGGACGUUUAUACCCGAAAGAUGGGGGCCGAGUUGAGCUGCAGUGCAAUUCCAUGGGAGCUUUACUUGUUGAAGCUCAAUCUGAACUCAAAAUCCAGGAUUUCGGAGACUUCUGUCCAGCGCCACAAAUCCGUGCCCUGAUCCCACCUAUAGAUUACAGUAAUACUCCCUUCAUGAGGUACCGCUCCUUCUAGUGCAAAUAACAAAGUUAGCUUGUGGUGGUGUUUCUUUAGGCGUUGCCGCAUCACAUGUCAUUGCGGACGGCCAAAGCUGGUUUCAUUUUUUUUCCGAAUGGGCAAAGAUUGCACGUGGUGAAAAAUCUGAUGAUAAACCAUUUCUAGAUCGAACAAUUUUUCAGCAAUAUGAAGACGAUCACCCAUCAUCAACAGCUCCAAAAUCACAAUACUCGGACUUUUUCCCACUGCCCGUCCUAAUAGGCCAGUCUAGCAGCUUGGAAGAGCGUAAAAAGUCUACCAACUGUGCCAUGCUUAAGUUAAGUAAAGACCAAAUUGAGCAGAUCAAGAACAAGGCCAACUACCAAGAUUUGAUGAUUCACAAAACUAACAAUCAAAGCCCCUUUAGCCGGUUUGUAGCUGUAUCUGCACAUAUAUGGAAGUGCUUAUCCAAGGCCCGUAUGCACAACCCUGACCAAGAAACGGUUCUAUAUGUGAGUGUUGAUUUUCGCAAUCGGCUUAAACCACCCUUGCCCGGAAGGUACUUUGGAAAUGCUGUCUUACCUGUACCAGCAAGAGCCAUUGUCGGUGACCUCCAAUCGAGGCCACUAAGCUAUGCUUCAAGCAAAAUUAAGGAAGCAAUAGAGAAUGUUACAGAUGAGUAUGUAAGGUCAUAUCUUGUUUGUAUGAAGAACAUUCCGGAGGUAUCUAGCAGUCGACAUUUUCACACCGUUGGUUGUCCGCAGGGGUUGUUCUUAGGAAAUCCCAAUUUGCUCGUUACAAGUUGGGUUGGUCUGGGCUUGUACAAAGCCGAUUUUGGGUGGGAAAUGAAAUUUUCAUGACCCUGGGUCAGUAGGUUAUGAUGGAAAACUCUUCAUUAUUCCUAGUCCUAAUGGAGAUGGAUCGUUCUUUAUACCAUUGCGCCUACAAGUAGAACAUAUUAAUGCUUUUAAGAAGCAUUUCUAUGAAGAUAUAUGAUGAUGUAGACUUACAAGGUUGGUUCUAAUGUACGGGCCUGUUUGGAAUCUGAGUUUUUUGGGAGUUUGUCUAAAAUUUUACUGUAGUGCACUGUAGAAGUUUUUGAAAAAAUUUUGUAAAAGUUUUUUAUAAGGUGAAAAAUUUUUUGUAAGGGAAAAACUUUUUUUCCUUUUCUUUUUUUUUUUCUCUUUCUCUUUUUUUUUUUCUUUUUUUUUCUUUCCUUUUUCUUUUCUUUCUUCUUCUUCCCCGUUACCUCUGCCUCCCAGCAGCAACGCAGCCUGCUCCACCCCCUACUCCGCCACCGGCCCCACCUCUAGCACCUCCGGCCACGAUGUUCCUGAUUUCGCACCCCAACAGCUGCUGCUCCACCGUGUGCCUCUCCACACUGUCCGUCCCCAUUCCGUCCUCCAGCACAUUGAAUAGCGCCGAGUAGUAAUGCAGCGCCUCCACGAACCGCCGCAAGAAGCUUCCCCCGUGGCUCAGGUCCUGCUGUUGCUGGCGCGUCGAGACAGUUCAUGGCCACGCACUCGGCGCAUUGCAGGAGGAGGCCCAGGAGACAGAGGCCGGAGGACUUGGUAUCGCCAGCUGCUGCUCCACCCAAGGAGGCGGUUGCGGCGGCGGCGCGGCGGCGGCUUCGAGCUCAGCAACGUCGUCGUCCUAGUUGUCUAAGUCGAUGGUUCUAUCAGCGGAGGUGGAAGGGUUGUCGGGCGAGGGAGGAGUGGCGGCGUUUGAGGAGGAGAGGUCUUCGUGGUGGGCAGAGGAGGAGCGCUUGGACUGCAUAGAGGAGGAGGAGUUGGAGGAGGGACGAGCGUUUCUGCUGGGGGAAGGAGAAUGGGAAUGGGAACGGAAUUAAUGGGGUUGGAAGCAGAAAUAGCAGUGGAAUUGGAGUGGAGCAAACUCUGGAGCAUGAUAGAUGGAUAGAUUGAAUUGGAAGCGGUAAUUGAACUGGAGUCUAGCCCGGAGAGGUGGUGGUGGGUUGGGAUGGGAGAGGAAGAAGAAAAAAAAGGGAAGGAAAAUUUUUUUUUUUGUGUGUUUUGUAUAUUUUGAAGUGGGUAGGUAAAAAACUUGCUUAAAAACCUGACUUCCAAACAGGCACGUAAUUUGUGUAGUUUCAUGGGGCUCAGUAAAAAGCUUAGUCAUAAUGGCAUAUCGACUAUUAGAUUAAGCUAGGAAUGGAGUAGCUUUGGAACCACCAUGGACACUACAAAAAAUGAUCAACCAUGCGCUUGAAUUAAUUUAGAGAAAAAUGGUGACCAUGUAAUCAUUUUUUCCCUCUCUUGUGGAAUAACAUUUAUAACCUAUCUUAUCUUAGUCCGAGGGAAAGAAAGAAUCCAAGUGAGCUAUAUGAGGGGUGAGAGGGAAAGAACCCAUAUAAAGUAGAGGAGUACACUAAUAGACAUCUUACCAUGUCAUAAUUCUCUCUCUCUAUUUUUUUUAAAAAAAUUUACUUGCAUAUUUGUAAAUUCCUUUUUGGUUAAUUGCCCUUUUCUUUGAUGUUAAAAUAGGCAAUACAUAAUAUGGCUGGAAUGAGAUUGAUGUCAAAGUAAUGAAAUACCAUCUUCUUAUUAGCUUGAUAUUUUUGGGUACAUUCUAUCUUUGAUAUUUUAAUUCGAGGAGCCCACCAUCCCUUUCAAUAAUUGAUAUUUGUUAAGUGUAAAAUUACAAUCAUUAUUCUUUGUCAACAUCCAUUUUCCAAGAGAAUUUUAUGAAAAGUUGAGAGUAAAUGUAAAUGUCACAAAAAGAUCGACAUCCAAUUUAUCAACUUAAAAGGAGGUCUUUAUAAUCUCUACAUUUUUAAAAAAAAAAAAGGAAUAAAUUCAAAAAUUGUAAGUGUUAUAGACUUGUUCUUUUUUUUUUUUUUUUUUUUUUUACCGUUAAACCCCUAUAUAAAGGCCUGAGGCCAAUUCUCUUCUGCAGCUAAAGAGUUGAGAUUUUCGCAUCUAAUUUGCUGGCACCAUUAAUGCUAGCUGUACUUCCAAAUGCCCCACGGCAUUGGACACAAUUUGCCCAACCAGAUGAAACUCCUUUAUCGGAAAUUACACGUGGCGGACUUCUGUGCAGCCGACAUAUAUACAUUAUUUAUACAUUAUUAUUAACUUCUGCAAUGCAUAUAAAUAAUGUACAUAUAAUGCAUACAGAUAAUUAUUUCAGUUAGACAAUGACCGACAUACAUACUUAUAUUAGCUGUUUAAUUAAUGAAAAAUUCGAUACUAAGUGACAUUGCGACUAAAUGAUAGAAACAAACUAAAAAAUAAUUCAUCCCCUUGUUUUUAAGAUUCUCACGCUUGUAUUUAUCAUUUAGUAAUGUCAUAAUUUAUAGUCAUUUUUUUUAAGAUGAACUCUUAAUUAAUAACAUCUCUUAGAGAUUGGUAUCCCAAUGCAAUUUUUUUCUAAGGCACUGCAAAUGAAAUAUAAGUAGUCUUAGAAAUAUAUGGUUUCAACAAUAUUGAUAACAUUCCACUUGUAGCAGAGUAUAAUUAUUAAACGAGCAUGAAGCAUAUGAACUGUCAACGACCGACAGUGUAGUGUGGAUACAGUGCCCUUCAUAUCCAAACCAUAUAAUAUGUCUGUGAAUGGGCUGGUGAUUUUGGGUCCCUCAUUGUUCAUUAACACGUGGAUUCUUUCAUCAUUUCACUUGAUUUUUAUGUUCAUGGGUUGCAGAAGUAGACCUGGCUUUAGGGUCCAUUGGUUCCAUCAAAGUCAGCAAGACACCUUCUGUAUUAUCACAUGGCCUAGUAAAUAUACAAGAAAUCUUUCUGCAGCUGCUUGGAUGAGCCUAGUAAAUACGUAUCUAUCUAAUCUAUCUAUCUAAUCUAAUCUAACUAUAUAUAAAAGCGGGAGUUGGAGAAUGAACAGUGCCAUUUUGGUCGAGCGGUUAUCACGUAAUUUUCAGCAACUUUGAUGGCUCUUGUAUUUGUUAGUUUUGUCGGCUUUUCGGCAACUCCAUUUGCAUCGGUCUCUGGCAGUUCAAAGCGGGAGUUGGAGAACGAACAGAGCAAUUUUGGUCAAGCGGUUAUCACGUCAUUUUGGGCAACUUUGAGGGCAAUUGUCAAGCGGCAUUUUGGUCUUUUGUCAUGUGGCUGGCUCUGGCUUUAGGAAGAUGUGGCUAAACGUCAGAAUUGCCGAUGCUAUUUCAUUAUUGAUUCUCUUUUGCUGGAAAAAGACAACAAUUAUUAAGAUGGCUCUUGGCAUUAUAUUUCAAUAAAAAAAGGGCUGGCUCUGGCUAAGGCUUGUUAGCUGUAUUAUUGUGCUAUGUGGGCUACAGAGCUAGGACUCACAAAAGAGAGCUGUACCCGUACGCUCUCUAUUGCAAGUAAUACUGCAGGCCUUGCAUAUAUAAGUAAGCAAAAUCGGUUAAGAUGCUAUGGGUUUUCAACUAAAAAUGGUUUCUAAUUCUAUAGCUUUUUCAAACGUACAAUUAGAAGGAUAUAUAUUAGUCUAUAUAUACAUAUUUAGUCUAUAUAAUUAUUGGAAAAAUUUUAAUUCCCUUAUUUUUUAUUAUUAUACUUUUCAUUCUAUAUAUAUAUAUAUAUAUAUAUUCUAUAAACAUGAGCUUACUUUUGUCUUCUAUGUGUGCUACAUUAUGAGUCUAUUUCCUUUUUAAAAGAAUAAUUAGUUUGCUAUUUUACUAAUAUAUCCAUGUUUAGUGUAUAUAUAAUUAUUAUAAAAUUUUUUACAUAUUUGUUUUCUUUAAUAGCUCUAAAUUGCUGUAAAUUGAAAAGCGAUAUUGUGUGCUAAUCUUGUUAUAUUAUUUAUUUAAACAUGUAACAUUAAUUAGACUAUUUCUUACAUUUGAAAAUUAAAGUACUCUAAAUUUGAAAAAUAAUGUAAUAAUACAUGUCUUUUACUGUGGAUUAAUGAUCUAAUAUUAAUGGAAAAAGAAAUAGGCCUAUAUUUAUUGAACUUAGUGAGUAAUAGAGAUAUACAUAUCUAACAAUAUAAAGGAAAAGUUGCCCUAUGUUAGGGCUAUUUUCAUCAAUUAUUUGUUUGUUUUUUAACAGCUGCUAUAGUUUUGGUAUAUUUAUCGGACAUGUUGACUGAAUUCAUAAUUGGUGGUAUAAAAAGUGAAAACUAUGAAAGUUAAUUUUUUGUGGUUAAUUAUUUGCUUUUGAAGUAUUCUGGAAAUGCAAAAUUACCAAGAAAAUAAUUGAUAAAUUGUUGUUGGCUUUAGUGACUUUAAAAAUGGAUUUUAUUAUUGUGACAUAGAAUAAAAUUGAUAAUUGUUCUAUAAAUGCACAAUUAUUGAGGAAACAAUUAAUAAACUAUUGUUGGCUUUAGUAACUUUAAAAAAUGGGUUUUAUUACUGAGACAUGUGGUGAUUAAUUUUUAGCAAUGUCAAGUUCUAUGGUUCAAGUGUUUAAUUGAUUUUCAAGAUCUCCUAUUUUUUGUGUCGUGUCAAUAAUGAUUAAUACUUUUUGGGAAUGAUUUAUUUUAUAAUUUUCUAAUUAUCCUGAUCCAAAUGCAAAAUAACCUUAUACAAUUUUUCUAAUUUAUCCUUAUGCAUUCUAUAUAUUAUUGUUUUCAUGCAUUCUAUAUAUUUCAUAAUCGUUAACUUUUAAUAAAAAUUAUAAUUCCCUAAUGAUCCGCAUGAAUUAAAUAAUAACAGAGAUAUAUACUAAUAAACUCAUACAAUAAAAAAUAAUUAACACGGGAAAUAUUAGUCCUCUUGCGCAAUGCGCAGGCCGUCUCACUAGUACUACCUAAAAACGACGAAAACCUUUAUGGUAGGAACGCUUUGACCGUGUCUAUGGCAGGAAGGCCUGUAGAGAGCGACACAUAUUAGAGUUGGAUAGAGUGCAAACGCAGACGUUAACCUAUGAAAGAUCGCGUGGAGAGCAAACAUUAAAUUUUUGUCGUGGCUGCAAGCAAAAAAGCACACAUUCGGACUUCCUUUUUUCCAAUGUAGUAGGUUGGGCCAGGGAAGGGUAAUUGCAGGUCAGAAUCACUGGCAUUUAUGCAUUUGCAAAUCUACCCGUUAGUAAUGGAAAAAUGCUGCAAAUGCUUGCGACAAAAAAAUGUGCAUAAAGAAGGUAUCGAAGUUUUAACAAAUAAUAAAUGUAAAUCUCACACGUGUGGGGGAUAAUAACUUGGAAGAAAGAAGGAAAAGUGGAGCAGAGGUAAACGUAGUAGUUCCGCGGCAAUGCGAAACACAAAGGGAUUGAAGGCUUUAUUAUAUUUAUAUACAUAUAUAAAUUUAGUACCCAAGUUUUCAGCUUAAGCAUCUGGGAAAAUGGUGCCAUAACUAUCAUUAUAGUAAACAAAACAGUUUUAGACAUGAUGUAAUAGGUUAUAAAAAUUUUAGUGACCAUUUGAUUACACGUUGGACCUAUCUGCUUGAAUAGGAUUAUGGGUAAAAAUAAGAAAGUAAGUUUCUCAUCUAAAAUAGUAAGUUAACGUAAUAAAUUAGUAACUUUUGCAGUCAAAAAGGUAAAUUGAAAGUAAUAUGAAACAUAUUUUUAAAAGAGAUAAAUUACAAUUUUAUAUAUCAAAUAUACUUUUGAGCGAGUAAGUUUAUUUGAAGUAAAAGUAUGUUUUUAUACAUAAAUAGUGAUUUUUAAUUGUAACAUAGUAAAUUUGAUUAAUGACAAAAAUAUGCUAAUUUAUUGCAAAAAUAUUCUAUUAUGCUAAAAAAACUUAUACCAAGCCCAUAUUUUUUUGUGUUAUUUGAAAUAACACUAAAAUGUAUUAUUAAUGAUUAAAAUUGAGUACCUUACUUAGUAAAUACUGUUAAUAUACUUGUAUACAUACUUGAUCGUAUGUGAAUAAAUAAGUAUUUUUGGAAUUUAUAGGAAAAUAAAUUUUUCCUUUUGCAGUUAAAAAACAAGUAAGUAAAAACUUUUUUCCUGGAGCACAAAAAUUCACAAGUCAAAAUAGUUAGCCUAAAAGGGAAAGAAACAUCUAAAUAUCAUUGUUUAAAGCACAAAAUAAAUUAGAUGCAAAAUGCUCGUUAAAAGUAGGUAUCUUGACAUAUAAUAAAGGAAAGGUAUAAAGAACAGGCCAUUUACGGGAAAAGUUAUCAUUCAUAAAAAUAGCAGCUCUUCACGGUUUUCUUACCAGUCGUCCAACGUAUGAGCAAAGUGGCAAUAAUUAAAAUAGUAUAUUUUUCAAUUUAUACAUAUUUUCAUUAAUUUUUUUUGCAUUUAAAAAAAAUUAAUAAAAAUCUUUUAUCAGAAAGCACAUAAGUCAAAAGGAAUGGUCUAAAAAGGAAAGGAAUAGCAAAUACGUACAGUACUUAUAGUUUACGUUCGAAGUUUGAAAAAUACUCCGAAAAAUAUCUAAUUCAAACGGAACCGAUUCUUCAUUAUUUAAAAUGUCAAAUAUGUGAUUGUGUUUUAACUGUUAUCCAUUGGUAUCCUAAAGUAUCAUUUUUUCAUCAAAUACCACCUUUUUAACACUCAUUUUCCUAUAAACAAAUUUAUUUAUCGGAUAAAAUACAUAAAAAUCCAUUUUUCAAUAAAACACUAGCUAUUUAUCGGAUAAAAUAAAAAUAAAUCCGUUUUUUAAUAAAACACUAACUCUUUAUGGUUAUCCUCCAUUAUAACAAAAGAGUACCCAUUUGUGGGCAAAAAACAAAUUUGUAUAUCAGAUAAAAUAGAAAAUGAAACCUUUUUUUGGGCAAAAAUUUCAGUCUUUAUGGCUUUCCUCCAUUAUAACAAAAAAGUACCCAUUUUGGAGGUGAAAAACAAAUUUGUUUAUGGAAUAAAAUAAAAAUCGAACCCGUUUUCAAAUAAAACACCAGCUCUUUACGGUUUUCCUCCACUACAACAAAAUAGUACCCAUUUUGGAGGCGGAAAACAAAUUUAUAUAUCGGAUAAAAUUAAAAAAAUGGUGUUUUCUAACAAAACACUAGCUCUUUUUGGCUUUCCUCCAUUAUAACAAAAGAAUACCCAUUUUGGAUGCGUUUUGACAAAUUGGUUAACAGUUAGUUAUUACUAUGAGUAAUGUGGUAAGUGUGAGAUGUGAAUGUUAAUAAUAACUGUUAGUUAUUACUAUCAGUAAAGUCAGCAGUAAAUGUGAGACAUUAAUUGGAAUUUGCAAAUAUCAUUUUCCAUAGGUGGUUAUUAUCUGUUAGUUAAAAUUUAGGAGUUUUAAUUUUAUGGGUUAGUGAGGAAAAUGUGAGGGAAAUGUGGGAAAAACAUGAGCAUGAUUAUUGGAUUUGUACGAGCAGUUAUAGGAUUAGUUGUGAGAUAAACAUUUCAUAAUUUUAGAAAUGUAAAAUUCUAAUAAAAUAGUAUUCAGACUUUUGACAAUUUGGAAAGCUCUUUAUCCAAAAUUUUCUCUGUAAUACAUAUAGAUAGAUAUAGAUGUCUUUUUUUUAGUGGUUGAAUCUCACAUUCGUGAACUAUCUGCAGAAAAAAAUAAAAUUCUAGACUAUACUAAUUUUGUUAUACCAACUAUGUUAUUCCUAUUAUUGCAUUAAUUGUUACGCUAUUUCUCUCAUUUUGUUAGGUCUACAUUAAUACAAGUUUAAUUCUUAUUAUGUCUCGUGUCCCAGAAAAUACAUAUUAUCCUAUUCAGGUGGAUACGUCCAACAGAUAAUCAAAUUGAUGCUAAAAAUUUAGAAUGAAUAAGUUGCUUUUGCAUAACGGUUAUAAAGGUUUCUUGAGACUUUAUGAAUUAGGUGUCUUGCAUUUGCAAAAAGAAUUUCUAGCAUAUUUUUGUAUUGGAAAUAGAGUUAAAACUUGCUAUAGGUUACUUUCAUGUAUUUCAAUUUUAUCAUACAGGGUAAUUUGCUGUUCAACCUAGUUUUAUUCUGAUUUUAUCCCACUAAUAAACUAACUUAUGAAAAUAGAUAAUUUACAGAGGAAAGCCAUAAGUAGCUGGUGCUUUAUUGAAAAAUGAAUUUAUUUUUAUUUUAUCCAAUAAAUAAAUUUGUUUAUGAAAAAUGGGUACUCUGUUCUUAUAAUGGAGGAAAACCAUAAAGAGUUAGUAUUUUAUUGGAAAGCGGAUUUAUUUUUAUUUUAUCCGAUAAAUAAUUUUUUUUUUAAAAAAUGGGUAUUCUGUUCUUAUAAUGGAGGAAAGUCAUAAAGAGCUAGUGUUUUAUUGAAAAAUAUGUUUAUUUUUAUUUUAUUCGAUAAAUAAAUUCUUUUAUGAAAAAAUGGGUACUCUGUUUUUAUAAUGGAGGAAAGUCAUAAACAGUUAGUAUUUUAUUGGAAAAUAGAUUUAUUUUUAUUUUAUUCGAUAAAUAAAUUUUUUUAUGGGAAAAUGGGUACUCUGUUCUUAUAACAGAGGAAGCCAUAAAGAACUAGUGUUUUAUUGAAAUAUAGGUUUAUUUUUAUUUUAUUCGAUAAAUAAAUUUUUCUAUAGAAAAAAUGGGUACUCUGUUUUUAUAAUGGAGAAAAGUCAUAAAUAACUAGUAUUUUAUUGAAAAACGAGUUUAUUUUUAUUUUAUCCGAUAAAUAAAUUUUUUUAUAGAAAAAUGGGUAUUCUGUUCUUAUAAUGGAUGAAAGCUAUAAAGAGUUAGUGUUUUAUUGCAAAAUCGAUUUUUUUUAUUUUAUCCAAUAAAUAAUUUUUUUAAGGGAAAAUGGGUGUUAAAGAGGUGAUAUUUGAUGGAAAAAUGAUACUUUAAAAUAUCAAUGGAUAACAGUUAAAACACAAUCACAGAUUUGGUAUUUUAAAUAAUGAAGAAUCGGUUUCGUUUGGAUUACAUAUUUUUCGGGGUAUUUUUCAAAAACAGCAUUGUAAUCCUCCGAACGUGAAAUAUAAAUACUGUACAUAUUUGCUAUUUCUUUCCCUUUUAGACCAGUCCUUUUGACUUAUGUGCUUUCUGAUAAAAAAUUUUCAUUAUUUUUUUAAAAUGCAAAAAUCAAAUUAAUUCUGUUUAAAUCGAAAAAAUUACUAUUUCAAUUAUUGGCACUUUGCUCAUACUUUGGAGGACUGGUAAGAAAGUCGUGAAGAGUUGGUAUUUUUAUUAAUAAAAUUUUUUUCCAUAAAUGGCCUGCUUUUUAUGACUUUCCUUUAUUAUAUGUCAAAGUAACAGCUUUUAACCAGCAUUUUACAUCUAUUUAUUUAGUAUUUUAAACAAUGAUAUUCAGCUGUAUCUUUCCUUUCAGACCAACUCUUUUGACUUGUGGAUUUUUGUGCUCUGCGCAAAAAAAAAUCGCUUACUUUUUUUUAAACUGCAACAGAAAAAAUUUAAUUAUGUAUGAAUUUCAAAAAUACUAAUUUAUUCACAUACAAUCAAGUAUUUAUACAAGUAUAUUAAUCGUACUUACUAAGUAAAGUACUCAGUUUUAAUCAUUAAUAAAACAUUUUAGUGUCAUUUCAAAUAACAAUAAAAUAUGGGCUUGGCAUAAGUAUUUUAAGCAUAAUAGAAUAUUUUUGCCAUAAAUUAGCAUGUUUUUGUCAUUAAUCAAAUUUACUAUGUUAUAAGUAAAAAUGAUUAUUUAUGUAUAAAAACAUACUAUUACUUCGAAUAAACUUACUCCCUUAAAAGUAUAUUGAGGAUAAAAAUUGUAAUUUAUCUCUUUAAAAAGUAUAUUUCAUAAUACUUUCAAUUCACCUUUUGGGCUGCAAAAGUUACUAGUUUAUUAUGUUAACUUACUAUUUUAGAUGACAAAUUUACUUCCUUAUUUUUACGCAUAAUCCUAUUCAAGUGGAUAAGUCCAACAGGUAAUCAAAUGGUUGAUAAAAUUAUUAUAACCUAUUAUAUUAUGUCUAAAACUGUUUUUUUUACCAUAAUGAUAGUUACUACUCCAUUUUCCCACAUGCUUAAGCUCAACACUUGGUACUAAAUUUAUAUAUGUAUAUAAAUAUAAUGUAGGCUUAAAUCCUUUGGUUUACCUCUACUUUUCCUUCUUCUAAAUUAUUAUCCCCCACGCGUGUGCGAUAAUCAUUUAUUAUUUCUUAAAAUUUCGGUACCUUCUUUACGUACAUUUUUUGUCCAAGGCAUUUGCAGCAUUUUUCCAUUGGUAAUGGGUACAUUUGCAAAUACAUAAAUGCCUCUGGUUUUAACCUGCAAUAACACUUCCUGGCUCAAUUCGUACGGAAGUCAGUAUGCUUUUUGGCUGUAUCCGCAGAUGGUUCUCGUAUAUUUCCUCUCCACACGCUCUGCAACAAUUUAACAUCUCCGUUUGGAUUGUAUGCAACUCCAACACGUAUCGCUCUCUGUCGGCUUUUUUACCAUAGGCAGGUUCCUACCAUAAAGGUAUUCACCUAACGACACCCCUUUCUUGAGAACCAUUGAGCUUGGCUCAGUGGCCACCGGGCUGUCGGUGGGAUUUCUGCUGCAAAAAAAUUCAAGUAAGAUGCCAUAGCGCUUUCUUGAUCAAGUCAGAUUUAUAUACCUACUAGUUCCUAACACACAAGUUUUUUUAGACUCCCUCUCCCUGUAAAUUAGGGUAGAAUAGAUUAUACAACUAUUAUCGAUAUCGGAAAAAAAAAAAAAGACAUCCCUUUUUUGAGGCCAAACGAGCCUUGUAACUUUUGAUAGCCUUCCAAUCCGACUUAAUGAAGGCCACAUGUAAUUAUCCUUCAUGAAUCAAUAUAAAUAUAUGUAAAUACUAGAGGUUCGGGCACCCUAGAAAGUUAAUUGAAUACAUAGUAACAAAUCAUUUUGGUAUGUAAUGAAUAGAGAUAUAUGAGAAAAUUGAGUAUCAAAAUCAUUUUGGAUUUUGAAAGAUGGCUUGGUUAAGUUCUGGUUUGAUAAUUGGGAUCAUACAGGUCCUUUAUAUAAUACUGCAUCAGUAAUUGCAGAUCAUCGGGUAAUAGACUUUGUUCAAGAUGGAGUUUGGGAUCAAAAUCUGCUAAACUAGUCACUGCAUUCGGUUGUGGUUAGUCAGGUUUCACAGAUUUCUCCUCCCUCCUUUCACGCUAAUGAUGAUAUGGUUUGGUCUCUUUCAUCUACAGACAAGUUCUCCAUGUCUUCGCCUUCACCUAGUGAGAAAAGCAAGGAAAUCCUCCUUGGCGUUUGUGGGUAUUUGGCCCUCGAGUAUUCCUUUAAAGGUUUCUUUUUUCAUCCUUCGGUGCUUAUUUAAUCGUUUGUCUGUGCUUGGUACACUAAGUUUGGGAUCCAUGGUCAGUCUAAGUGUUGGUGUCGGGAAAAUCCAGCUUUAGAGACUUUUGAUCAUGCAUUUAGUGAUAGGCAACUUGCUGCUUUAGUAUGGAGUUUCUUUGAAGGUGUGGCUGGCAUUUUGCCUUUGGGUUCUGCUAGUUAAUUGGUGGUUGCAACCAACUACAAACCCUUCACAGGUUUUUAUAUAUAGAGUAGUACUUAUCUUCGUUUGCUAGCAUUUAUGGAAGGUGGGGAAUGAGGCAUUUUCUGAAGGGCGUUUCUCGACUCAUCAUCAUCUUUGCUAACAAAAUUUUAAGGGUGUUGCUAAUCCAUGUGCUGUCGAGUUCAAAGGAAUUGGAUUUGUCACUACAUCUUGGGUGCAAUGUUACCGGUCAGCCUCUUCUUUCAAGAAGAAACUUAGGCCGAUUCCUGUGAGAUGGAUCAGUCCACCUGCUGCUGAUUUUACACUUAACUCAGAUGGUUUUUCAGAAGGUAAUCCAGGACUUAAGGUGGCAGAGGGGUUGUUUAGAAGUUUCUUUUUUUUUUUUAUUGUUCAGAAGGUAAUUCAGCACAAUUUUCUUUUCCUUAGGAAUCUCAUUUUUGUCAACUUAAAAGAAACUUUUUCAGGGCCGCCUACAUAUCUAUAAUUCAUCAAGUCAUCGCUAACCCGAUCUUCACUUCUUGAUACUACUGCGGUUGAUGAUUCUUUCCUCUUGCUUCUUGCCUUUAUAGUAACUAUCUAUUACGUGCAUAGAACCAAAUUUACAAGCACUUGAAAUAAGAAAAACUAAUGGACAUUUUGAAAAGUACACUGAGACAUUGUAUUAUAUUGUAUCCAACUUUAAUCAUUUCAACCGUAUUACUAUGCUUGUCAAGUCUCUUACAACUAUUCUACCCAAUGGAACAGUUUAUCCUUUUCCAUUAAAAGCGAUCUUUUCAAGUUUCAUAAGUUCUCUAUAGCUCAAUAGUAUAAGGCUCGAAAAAAAAUUCAAUGUCACAUACUUUGGACAACCUACAGCCUAAUUUGAAAGAAGAUCUUAAAGUCGUGAAUGAGGAGUUUUUCGUUUUUGAUUUCCUUCUAUGGAAACAGAAAGGAAAAAAGACUUGUAUUGCUAAAGUUAUAGAAACAUAUAUUAAUAGAGAACCAAAAUCAUGUGUCCAAAUCGCUGAAUGCAUUCCAAGUGAAAGAUUCAUAAGACACCAUAAGAUGCUCGAAAGAAAACUGUUAUUGAGAAUAUGGAUGUGAUUCUAUAGCUUACAAUUGAAUGAAGAACGAUGCAAAUAUUUAAGGAUUCAAGAACUAAGAAACCGGCCCUACUUAUAAACCCUUUAGGCCAUUCAACAAAUUAUUGUUGUCACAUCCUAUGUUGUUCAAAUAAUAUACCUUUACUAUUUCACAAAGUUGUAAACUUCUGUCGAAAUUUUAUUUUACUGAAAGGUUUUCGAAAUAAAUGAAAGGAGAAAUUCCUGAAAGGAAUACACUAAGUUUCUAUUUAAUCACAAUGGAUCUUCUGUCCCAUACCCUGUGCCACUCUCUGUCUCACUUAAAUAACUUAAAGGAUGUGUCCGGAACCAUAAAUAACUUAUAAAGAUUUUUACAAAUCAUCCACUAACACAAACACAGUCCUUACAUCCACACAAAAUUCGACAAUCUCCUGUGAAAAAUUGACCCGUUCUUGUCAACUUGCGUUAACAAAUGAAUAGAUACGUAGGCUGCACGAAAACAACAUAGAUAAAGUUAAUUGACGUUAUUACUUUGUGCAAGCUCAUACUUAUCUGAUCUCUAACCAAGUGGAGCCCGCUCGUGUGGGCCUGGAUAGUUUUUGGCCUUUAAUCCAAAACGAGAAUUUAUAGCCCUUGUCCGGUGGUUCUGUUCCCAUCGAUCCCUCCAUAGGUCCAGUUGGAUUUCCCCCGUAGUUAGAUUAGAAUAGAGUAUGAUUAGAAGUAAGGUUAAAGAUUAACAAAAAAAAAAAAAACAGAAUUUAUAGCCCUUGUCCCUUGCCACUUUGUGUUGAAUUGGAAAUCAACCUCCAACUAGAGUCCCUUAAAGUCAUUAUCUAGCUGAAAUACAAAUCAAAGUUAUUGAUUAUUCAAUCAGUUCAUUCAAAAUUUGUUUGUCAACUAAUGCUGUUGGACGUGGACUUGAAUUAGUAGUAAUUAAGAUUUUAAAAUUGAUUUGAUAUUGAUGAAACUUGAAAUUCAGCUGUAAGAAAUUUAAGUUACUAGAGAUUGACUUCCUAAAGGUGUCAGACUCGAAAAAUUAACAAAUCAAAUGUAAAUCAAAAUUUUAAACUUGUUAAAAUAAACAAAAAUGCCAGCUAGCUCAUUUUGAUUAGUCUUGUUUACAUGCCUAGUAACCUAGGACGAAAACAUCAAAAAUACACUUGCUCCUAUUAUGAGGUUCCAUUAAAACCAUACACAAACAAACCAGUUUUUACUUGAAUUUUUCUCCUUGUUGAACUUCUAAGUGCAUAAUCGAGCGAAAUACGUCUUGGUGGAUUAAAUUAGGGCUAUGAGUAUCGUGGUUUUGUGAUGACCGCAAGGAGACGCAGGAAAAGGUCUUUGCUUAUUGCGUCUAAUGAGAUGAACUAAAUUGGUUCUUGAAUAUUUCGUUGAACUUUUUGCUUUUGUAAUUUCUUGUGAGUGUGGUAAGACAUUUACUAUAAUUGCAACAACAAAGUAAUUUCUUAAAAUAUAUUAGUUUAAAAGCACGUACGUGGCAUUACCUGGUUCCAAUAUUAAUGAGUGUGUUUGGAUUGCUGAAUUAUUUCACAUAAUAUUUUGCUUGCAUCAUAAACACAUUUUUCAAUCCACCAUUUUAUAUUCUCAAUUAUUUUUUUUAUCUCACAUACACCAUAUCACAAAAAGUAUUACAGUAAUUAUUUCAAAUAAUACUCUUUCGAAACACACUCAAUAGUAGUUAUUGUUUUAAUGGUCAAUGUUGAUGUACAUAUACCAAGAAGGUAUCCAUCAAAGGAUCAAAUUUAGUUACAAAAAUACUUUUAUAUAAAAAAUGGUUAUGUCGAGUACCAGCAAGUUCGUGAUCGAUCUUCGUGUGCUACCUUGCUGUGUAUCUUUGGAGUAAAAUUCUACACAGCCUUGGGGGAUUAGUCUAGCCAAAAGGUUGGAAUACUCUUAAGUGAAAAAAAUGGUUAUGUUGAGGAAAUUAGUUUUGGAUACAAUUUAAGAACUAAAGACCAUUGAAAAUAAAUAAUUAAUCGCCACAGAUUCCAUUCUUUGCAAUUUGGCAUCUCUAGACUUUUGAGCAUUUUCUCUGAUAAAACCACAAAGUAAAGAUUUUUUUUUUACAGGUGGAUUAUCCCAUCAAAUUAAUAAGCCAAUCAGAAACUGAACUUGAAGUCAAUGCACCAAAUCAUGAGCAAUGGAUCAUACACAUAAAUAGGUGACGUGCGCGGGUAUACAUACAACAUUUAGCUCAUUCACAAUCAAGUUUUUUAUUUAUAAAUUCCUAAAUACCUCAACACACGAUUUUUCUGCAAGUAUACAGGUCGUUUAUUGAGCAUAGGGGAAGAUUUUCAAUUAUAGGUGAUUUUCAUAACUCCUUUAUUAUUUAGACUAUAAGCAUGAUGUAAAAGUAAUAAAAUUAACACUAAAAAGCUCCUAGAGGUAUGGAAUUCCUUACUACUUUUGCAAAUGAGAUACCGGUUAAGUGAAUACUAUUAUUUUGGCUAGUUAUAGCGUAAUUUUCUAAUGUAUGUGAAAUCUACUCUCGUAGUGAAUCAACUAUACUUGUAGCUAAACCAUACCCACUUUCGUGGUUAUGAAAUUAACUACAAUCUCAUUUCUUUUAUGAAAUUACAUGAAACAAGUCACUAAAGCCAUAUCGGUGAUCCUCUACUCUCGUGAGUAAACUCCCUAGGUUUAUCACUUUCUUGAACUAGUGUUAAAUUCUAAUUCUCAUUGUAAACCUAACACCUUAAAAUUAUCACAACUAAUGGGCGGUUAAUCAUGAUUAGAAAAGCAAAAGUGAUAAACAACUUGUUCAAAAUAAUAUCAUCAAAUAACCAAGUAAAAUUCACUAACAAGAUAUAAAAAGUUCAUCCAUACUCUGGGCAUAAACUUUAACUAAACACGAAAACAAGAUCCAAACUUGUAUUAUAGUUAAACAUAAACUUAAAUACAAAAGAGAAAGUAUAGAAGAGAAGUUACUCUUAUCACAUGAGCUUCAAACUCUCCAUAUUUGUUCUUCAAUCUUCAUCCAAAUCUAACUACAAAUAUAAGACGGAAAAAUUACACUAACUAUUCUAUACUACUCUAACUAAUGAACUAAGAAAAUUCUAGUGAAAGCUAUAUUUUGGUGAGUUUCUCUAGUCUUCCAUUUUUAAAAUGGUCUCCAAAAGCUAUAUUUAUAUAGGAAUUCAAGGGCCAAAGGAGUUGUUUCUAGUUGUCAUUUUUUACUCUUGAAACUCUCAAAAAUUGCUUCUCAAAGUUUCCAUGCUCACCUGAUCAUUUUCAGCCAGAAUCUUUGCAAAAAAUAGUAGUCAAAACGGUUGUGUGAAAAUAGCACAAGUUGCAGAGUAAGUUGCAGCCAAAAUCCACUAAAAUGCGGUAGAAAAUGCAGCUUGUGUCCGCAUUUUGACUCCUGUUUCACUCUUUGCAGGUUUUCACUUUUCUGGGCAGAAUUCAUCCUUGCUCUGUUUUUUGUCCAAUUUCAACUGAUAUUUUCUCAAUGUUAGAAACCGAAAUAGCUCUUGUGUAAAACAUGAAAGUUGUAGACCUUUGCGUUAUCUUUCCAAUGAAUCAAGAAUAAUCCAAUUUGGAAUUUUGUGGACAGAUAAAUGACCAAAAUAUGCUUGACUGGUCAGAACCUUGUUUCAGCUUUCGACCAUAAACAUGAACUUCUAUAUACCAACUUUUUUACUAGGAAAACAAUUGCACUGGAUUUUGAUGUCUCCAUACAAAAUAUAGAUCUAUCUCUUAGCUUCAAAAUGGUAUAUGAAUCACCUCAAUCCGAUGCUUGUAGCUCCAGAUAUAGCCGAAAUACCAUAAGAUGUCAAAGCUGUCUUCACUUGCAUUUCUUCCUUUGAAUGUUUUGCACUUCAUGUCUUCUUUAAACCACUGCAAACCAUCAUCAAUCAUCCAAUUAUCUUCUCAAUACACUCCAUUAGAUGAUUAAAUCAUUAAACCUACCAAAAACAUGAAGUUUUCACCAUUAAAAUCCAUAGAAAUGUAAUUUUUACCACUUAAACCACAAAAUAUACAUUGUCAUUAAAAUCCUAGUUAAUUAGCUAAAAACAUGACUAAAACACACCAAAAUUAAAUAAUAAAAUACGCUAAAACAUGUAAAAUAUACACUUAUCAAUAGGCGUGGCAAUCGGGUCAAAAAUAAGGGUAAUGGAUUGGGUUGAGAUUCAGGUAUAACAGAAAACCUACUGAUUUGAACACGACCCGCCAACCUGCAAAGGGUAGAAUACUUGACUUAAACCUGAAAUUUUUGGACAUCAUAUGAUUUGAAACACAAUUUUAAUUUACUAAUAUACCACUAUAGUUUCUAACAGAACCAAUUUUGCACAAGGCUAAUUACAUAACGAAGUAAUAAAAGUCUCAAUAAAAUAAUUCCAAAAUAGAUCUGAAAUAAAUUAAAACACUUUUACAGUGUUUUAUCCCAAACCUGAUAUAAAAUAAAUUAAAUCACUAUAAAAGUAGAAAAAUAAUGUAAUAUAUUAUUUGUCCAAAUAUAUUAAUUCCAUCUUCAUACAAGUCAAACAAAUUCAUUUAAGAUUAAUGAUUGAUUAAUGCCUUGGGAAAAAAGGAAUAACUUAGUUUAGUUAGAUAAAAUAUUUUUAUAUUUAUUAAAUUCUUUUUAAUUCAUAAACGAGUUAUCGGAUCAACCGUGGGUAACCUAAAUUCGACCUGUUAUCUUUUCAGGUUCGACCCGAUUCUGAUCUAAAUCUGCAAAUCUCAAUUCAAACCCAUUAAUUUCGUAUUAAGUUCGUAUGGUGUUUUCAAGUUGUAUCGAAAAUUGCCACCCCUACGUGUAAAGCAAGUCUUUGCAAUUUUCACAUGUGAUAUUAUAUAAAUCUCGGGUCUAUAUAAGCGUACGCUGGCGGCACUUUGCUACCACAGCCAAAAUCUCACCCUCAAAAUUUCCUUUCCUUCUCACAAAGUCUCCCAGCUGCGAUACUUUUUUCCUUCUUACAACUCUCACUCCCAUUAUUCUCUUUCCUUCUCACAAUGGUUAACUUGAUUGCCUCUCACAUCGUCAAACCAGCAAAACCAAUCCCCACAAAAGUAAUGUUUUUAUCUGAGUGUGAUCAACGUGUGCCCGUGACUCAUGUAACUAUCGUCCAUUUUUACAAGCCAGAAGGUCCAGAAUUGCUAAAAGAUGCCACUGGGGUUUUGAAAGAAUCACUAAGCGAAGCCUUGGUGGCGUUUCAUCCGCUUGCUGGACGUUUAUACCAGAAAGAUGGGGGCCGAGUUGAGCUGCAGUGCAAUUCCAUGGGAGCUUUACUUGUUGAAGCACAAUCUGAGCUCAAAAUACAGGAUUUCGGAGACUUCUGUCCAACCCCACAAAUCCGUGCCCUGAUCCCACCUAUAGAUAACAAUAAUACUCCCCUUCAUGAGAUACCGCUCCUUCUAGCGCAAAUUACAAAGUUUGCCUGUGGUGGUGUUUCUAUAGGCUUGGCCGUGUCACAUGUCAUUGCGGACGGCCACAGCGGGUGUCAUUUUGUUUCCGAAUGGGCAAAGAUUGCACGAGGUGAAAAAUCUGAUGAUCAACCAUUUCUAGAUCGAACAAUUUUUCAGAAAUAUGAAGACGAUCACCCAUCAUCAACAGCCCCAAUAUUACAAUACUCGGACUUUUUCCCACUACCCGUCCUGAUAGGCCAGUCUAGCAGCUUGGAAGAGCGUAAAAAGGCUACCAUCUGCGCCAUGCUUAAGUUUAGUAAAGACCAAAUUGAGCAGAUCAGGAACAAGGCCAACUACCAAGAUUUGAUGAUUCACAAAACUAGCAAUCAAAGCCCCUUUAGCCGGUUUGUAGCAGUAUCUGCACAUAUAUGGAAGUGCUUAUCCCAGGCCCGUAUGCACAACCCGCCCAAGAAACGGUUCUAUAUGUGAAUAUGGAUUUUCGCAAUCGGCUUAAACUACCCUUGCCCGGAAGGUACUUUGGAAAUGCUGUCUUACCUGUAACAACAAGAGCCAUUGUAGGUAACCUCCAAUCGAGGCCACUAAGCUAUGCUUCAAGCAAAAUUAAGGAAGCAAUAGAGAAUGUUACAGAUGAGUAUGUAAGGUCAUAUCUUGUUUGUAUGAAGAACAUUCCGGAGGUAUCUAGCAGUCGACAUUUUCACGCCGUUGGUUGUCCACAGGGGUUGUUCUUAGGAAAUCCCAAUUUGAUCUUUACAACUUGGGUUGGUCUGGGCUUGUACAAAGCCGAUUUUGGGUGGGGAAAUCAAAUUUUCUUGACCCCUGGGUCAGUUGCUUAUGAUGGAAAACUCUUCAUUAUUCCUAGUCCUAAUGGAGAUGGGUCGCUAUUUAUACCAUUGUGCCUACAAGCAGAACACAUUAAUGCUUUUAAGAAGCAUUUCUAUGAUGAUAUAUGAUGAUGUAGACUUACAAGGUUCGUUCUUGUGUAGUUUCAUGGGGCUCAGUAAAAAGCUUUGUCAUAUGUAAUGUAAAAGUUAGGUGCCACUAACAUUUGAAUUUAUUUGUUGGACAGGGAGCCUACAAAUUGGCAGCUGGUGGAGAACAGUUCAAAUUGUUGGACGUGGAACUUUUAAGAAAUGGAAGAUGGAGUAAAGGGAAGCCAAAAAUUUGUCUCCAAAGUAGUAGCAAAUAAGGAGACUUUUACUCCUUUGAGAUAGCUAGUAUGACCUUUACGAUGUCCUUUUUCUUAAAAAAAAAAAAAAGGAUUAAUCUUGUAUGUAUCAAAAAUAGAUACAUUAAUGAGUAUGGAUACUUGUUAUUUCAUUUCAAUUUGAACUAACUCUUAAUUUCAAUUUUUACACAUGUUGUAUAUAUCUAUGUCUGUUAUUGUAUAUACUGUCAAUAUAUAUAUAUGAUUAAUUUUUUUUUCUUAAGUAAGGGCAAUAGCCCCACUUUUUUUUUUUUAGUAUAAGCAGGAGGACUCGAAUCUAAGAUCUCUUGCUUACACUUCCUCCCCCGUAUCACCCAACCCAAUUAAAAAAAUAUGAUGUAUAAUCUUUUCAUGAUAUUAUUACUUUAAAGUGUCAAUCUAUAAAACUUGUUUCUUACACAGUAAAAUUUGAAUUAUGAUGAGCAUUGUGUAUUGGGUACUUAAUUGUCAUAUUCCAUCCCAUAGCAAAGAAACUUGUAAAUUGCGUAAUGGCAUAUCGACUACUAGCUUAAGCUAGGAAUGGAGUACCUUUAGAACCACCAUGGACACUACAAAAAAUGGUGACAAUGUAAUCUUUUUUUUUUUCCCUCUCUUAUGAAAUAACAUUUAUAACCUAUCUUAUCUAGUCUGAGGGGAAGAAAGAAUUCAAGUGAGCUAUAUGAGGGGUGAGAGGGAAAGAACCCAUAUAAAGCAGAGGGGUACACUACUAGACAUCUUAAAGCAAAGGACUUAUAGUCCAAGAGGAAUUUUAUAUUCCUUCUCAAUGGCCAACUUCCCAAAUCCAGAUUGGUUCUAUGUAAUCAACUCAGUGCAGAGUAAUUGCAGAUUGGUUCUAUGUAAUCAACUUCCCAAAUCCCUUUUGUACAAGUUCAUAAUUAUCUGAUCUCUGACCAAUCGGAGCCUGCCAGUGUGGGGCCUGGAUGGUUUUUUUUUUUUUUUUUUUGGUUUUUUCCUUUCAACUAGAACGAGAAUGUAUAGCCCUCGUCCCUUGCUACUUUGUUGAAUUGUAAAUCAACUUCCAACUAGAGUCCCUUAAAUUCAUUAUCUAGCCGAAAUACAAAUCAAAAUUGUUGAUUAUUCAAUCAAGCUCAUUCAAAACUGGUUUGUCAACUAAUGCUGUUGGACGUGGACUUGAAUCAGUAGUAAUUAAGAUUUCAAAAUUGAUUUGAUAUUGAUGAAACUUGAAAUUUAUCACUAAGAAAUUUACGUUACUAGAGAUUGACUUCCUAAAAGUGUGAGACUGGAAAAAUUAACAAAUUAAAUAUAAAUCAAAAUUUUAAACUUUUUAAAAUAAACAAAAAUGCCAACUAGCCAUUUUGAAUAAGUCUUGUUUACAUGCCUAGCAACUUAGGACCAAAACAUCAAAAAUACACUUUCUCCUGUUAUGAGGUUCCAUUAAAACCAUACACAAACAAACCAGUUUUUACUUGAAUUUUUCUCCUUGUUGAACUUCUAAGUACAUAAUCGAGCGAAAUACAUCUUGGUGGAUUAAAUAAGGGCUAAAAAGUAUCGUGGUUUUGUGAUGACCGCAAAGAGACGCAGGAAAAGGUCUUUGCUUAUUGCGUCUAAUGAGAUGAACUAAAUUGGUUCUUGAAUAUUUCGUUGAACCUUUUUCUUUUGUAAUUCCUUGUGAAUGUGGUAAGAUAUUUACUAUAAUUGCAACAACCAAAGUACUUCCUUAAAUAUAUUAGUUUAAGAGCACGUGGCAUUACCUGUCUCCAAUAUUAAUACUAGUUAUUGUUUCACUGGUCAAUGUUGAUAUACAUACACCAAGAAGGUAUCCAUGGAAGGAUCAAAUUUAGUUACAAAAAUUCUUUUAUAUCAAAAAGGUUAUGUUGAGGAAAUUAUUUCUAGAUACAAUUGAAGAACUGAAGACCAUUGAAAAUAUAUAAUUAAUUGCCACGAAUUCCAUUCUUUACAAUUUGACAUCUCCAGACUUUUGAGCAUUUUCCCUGAUAAAACCACAAAGUAAAGAUUUUUUUUUUCUUACAGGUGGAUUAUCCCACCAAAUUAAUAAGCGAAUCGGAAACUGAACUCGAAGGCAAUGCACCAAAUCAUGAGCAAUGGAUCAUACACGUAAAUGGGAGUGGCAAUCGUAUCAGAAGUGAGUUGGUGAGUUGAGUUGAGAUCCAGGUAUAAUAGGUAAUAUGCUGACUUGAACAUGACCUGUCAACUCACAACAAGUCAGGAUACCUGACAUGAAUCUGAAAUUUUCGAGUUGGCAAGUCAGCCGAAUGACUUGGUAUGACCCGAAACAUAAUUUGAAUUUACUAAUUUACCACUGUAGUUUCUAAUAGAAUCAAUUUCGCACAAGGCUUAUUACAUGAUCAAGUAAUAAAAAUUUCGAUAAAACAACCCCAAAACAAGUCUGAAAUAAAUUAAAAACUGUAAAAGUAAUUUAUCCCAAACUAGAUCUAAAAUAAAUUAAGACAUUAUAAAGGUAGAAAAUAAAGUAACACAUUAUUUGUCCUAACUUAAUAAUUCCAACUUCACAUGAGUCAAACAAAUUCAUUUAGAAUUAAGUGAUUAAUGCCUUUGGGAAAAAAAGAAUAACUUAGUUUAGUUAGAUAAAAUAUUUUUAUAUUUAUUAACUUCUUUUCAAUUAAUAAUUGGGUUAUCGGAUCAACCCAUGGAUGAAUUGAAUUCGAUCUGUUUUCUUUUCGAGUUCAUCGGCUUUGACCCAAUUCUGAUGCAAACUUGCGAAUCUCAAUGCAAACCCAAUAAUUUCAUGUUAGGUUGGUAUCGAAAAUUGCCAUCACUACACGAAAAGCAGAGUCUUCACAAUUUUCAUAUGUGAUACACUAUAAAUAUUGGAAUCAACUCCUUCUAGAGGAGUUGGCCACCACAUUAAUUGUGGGUGAAAGGUCAAGGUUCAAAUCUUGCCUCCCAUCAAGGUGCCUCAAUAUAAGGUUUGUUCUAAAUUCAUAUGGGUGUGUGAUGCACUCAUCUGAUCUGAUAGUGGUUCAGUCUCCGUCAGGUUCCCCCGGCUUAGUUGAGCCUUCCCAUAGAGUAAAUUCCCCUCUCCCCCACCCCCUACGACAAAAAAAAAAAGAUACACUAUAAAUCUUGGGUCUAUAUAAGCAUACGCUGGCGACACUUUGCUACCACAGCCAAAAUCUCACCCUCAAAAUUUCCUUUCCUUCUCACAAAGUCUCCCAGCUGCCAUACUUUUUUCCUUCUUGCAAUUCUCACUCCCAUUAUUCUCUUUCCUUCUCACAAUGGUUAACUUGAUAGCCUCUCACAUUGUCAAACCAGCAAAACCAAUCCCUACAAAAGUAAUGUUUUUAUCUGAGUGCGAUCAACGUAAUCCCAUUACUCAUGCAAACAGCGUCCAUUUUUACAAGCCAGAAAGUCCAGAAUUGCUAAAAGAUGCCACUGAGGUUUUGAAAGACUCACUAAGCGAAGCCUUGGUGGAAUUUUAUCCGCUUGCUGGACGGUUAUACCAGAAAGAUGGGGGCCGAGUUGAGCUGCAUUGCAAUUCCAUGGGAGCUUUACUUUUUGAAGCUCAAUCUGAACUCAAAAUCGAGGAUUUUGGAGACUUUUGUCCAACCCCACAAAUCCGUGCCCUGAUCCCACCUAUAGAUUACAGUAAUACUCCCCUUCAUGAGGUACCGCUCCUUCUAGUGCAAAUAACAAAGUUAGCUUGUGGUGGUGUUUCUUUAGGC